CCGGUCAAGAAUUACCAACAUGGCGACGAGGCAGCUUGAUGGACGAAGCGGCAGCUUCUGGUGCUACCGGCCUCACCAUCUCUCUCCUAAGCGCCCUCACUUCACUCCCCAGAUUGUCGUGCUGUUUUUCUUGGGGGGGGUGGUGCCUCGUCAUCAGUGUCCACACCUUGAAGCAUAUUUAACUCUAAAGGUCUGCACCUUCAAAAAAGUGUUGCGGCGGGCCCGUAGUGGUCUGGACUCUUCCAGCUGGCUCCUGCAGGGUCUUCAGCCUCUGACUAUGUCUGAUGUUAAACACAGUAAGGACUUUUUCAGCUAACCAAGACCCUCACGUCACCGUGCACGUCCCACGCUGCACCUGGAGGAAGGUGGUGCGCGACUGCCUUCUGGAGGCGGUUAUGAUCGUAAGAACUAGGAGGCCAGAAACAAUUCCAUGACUCCCCUGCCUCCUCCAACCAGCUGCUUGGCACUAUGGUAGUGCUCCUAUCUUUGAAUUCGACGACCUUCCACACCUGUGCCAUCUGUCAAUGAGGUGAAUGAAAGAAAAUUGAAGAAUUGGCCAAAACUGAACUUUUGAACUCUUAAAAAUGGGUAAACCGUCGAUGUUGAAUUGUAACCGAAUUGUCUGAAGGCAGCUAGGCAAAUGGAUUGAAUUCAAUUUUGAUAAAAUUCCCUUAGCCAAUCCAAAAUGGUGAUAUUCACCACCACCUAAUGCAUGCACAGCUAUUUUCUUUAGUGUGCCAAGAAGUGUCCUGGCAUCUUUAGGCAGCUCAGAGUGGUGUACUCUCAAUAUUGAUAGAAGAGCGGUAACUGCAACAAGAGUAAUGCCAAAAGUUGAUGCCCAUUGCUUUAGUUUAGCUUGUAAACUCAUUUCCUCAGGCUCACUUUCAUCACAGCUGGAUAACCCACUAAAAUCCUCUCUUUCACUGGCAUCACUGUCUGUAGUGUUUUGGUCAGGACUGUUCUCG
ensembl:lncRNA